rnacentral:rRNA from 1 species
CAUGCAAGUCGAGCGAACAGAUAAGGAGCUUGCUCCUUUGACGUUAGCGGCGGACGGGUGAGUAACACGUGGGUAACCUACCUAUAAGACUGGAAUAACUCCGGGAAACCGGGGCUAAUGCCGGAUAACAUUUAGAACCGCAUGGUUCUAAAGUGAAAGAUGGUUUUGCUAUCACUUAUAGAUGGACCCGCGCCGUAUUAGCUAGUUGGUAAGGUAAUGGCUUACCAAGGCAACGAUACGUAGCCGACCUGAGAGGGUGAUCGGCCACACUGGAACUGAGACACGGUCCAGACUCCUACGGGAGGCAGCAGUAGGGAAUCUUCCGCAAUGGGCGAAAGCCUGACGGAGCAACGCCGCGUGAGUGAUGAAGGGUUUCGGCUCGUAAAACUCUGUUAUUAGGGAAGAACAAACGUGUAAGUAACUGUGCACGUCUUGACGGUACCUAAUCAGAAAGCCACGGCUAACUACGUGCCAGCAGCCGCGGUAAUACGUAGGUGGCAAGCGUUAUCCGGAAUUAUUGGGCGUAAAGCGCGCGUAGGCGGUUUCUUAAGUCUGAUGUGAAAGCCCACGGCUCAACCGUGGAGGGUCAUUGGAAACUGGGAGACUUGAGUGCAGAAGAGGAAAGUGGAAUUCCAUGUGUAGCGGUGAAAUGCGCAGAGAUAUGGAGGAACACCAGUGGCGAAGGCGACUUUCUGGUCUGUAACUGACGCUGAUGUGCGAAAGCGUGGGGAUCAAACAGGAUUAGAUACCCUGGUAGUCCACGCCGUAAACGAUGAGUGCUAAGUGUUAGGGGGUUUCCGCCCCUUAGUGCUGCAGCUAACGCAUUAAGCACUCCGCCUGGGGAGUACGACCGCAAGGUUGGAAACUCAAAGGAAUUGACGGGGACCCGCACAAGCGGUGGAGCAUGUGGUUUAAUUCGAAGCAACGCGAAGAACCUUACCAAAUCUUGACAUCCUUUGACCACUCUAGAGAUAGAGUUUUCCCCUUCGGGGGACAAAGUGACAGGUGGUGCAUGGUUGUCGUCAGCUCGUGUCGUGAGAUGUUGGGUUAAGUCCCGCAACGAGCGCAACCCUUAAACUUAGUUGCCAGCAUUUAGUUGGGCACUCUAGGUUGACUGCCGGUGACAAACCGGAGGAAGGUGGGGAUGACGUCAAAUCAUCAUGCCCCUUAUGAUUUGGGCUACACACGUGCUACAAUGGACAAUACAAAGGGCAGCUAAACCGCGAGGUCAUGCAAAUCCCAUAAAGUUGUUCUCAGUUCGGAUUGUAGUCUGCAACUCGACUACAUGAAGCUGGAAUCGCUAG